rnacentral:sRNA from 1 species
UGCACAUACAUACAAACACACAUCUCAAAGUAUUUAUCUAAAACUUGAAAAAGCAUAACCACCGUGACUGAAUCUAAAGCAAAACAAAACCAAUAAAAACUACUUAGCUGUUUUUUCUAAACUUCUAAUUUAACUCUCAUUUACAGAUGAAGGAAUUGAAGUCUAGCAGUGCUACAUGGAAUUUUUGAGCAUGGCACACAUACAAAUGUUCUCCAAAGCAAACCAAGAAAACAGAAAAUUGAUGGUUGGGGCCUGGGAUCAUGAUUCUACAGUAUAAUCUACUAUGCUGCCAUUUAAUAAGACAGGAGCAACUGCAGCAUCCUCAAAGAAACAAAAGUAUUCAAGAUCUCUCAUACAUUAAUUUGGGCACUAUUGAAAGGAGAAAAAAAGUGGACUUGGUGAACCAUUUGAUGCCAUGAACUGUAUAUGAUCAUAAACUCUGGCCUGUACCUAGCAAAGUAGAUAGUGCAAGAGAAAUGUCAAUAUUAAAUUCAGGCUCACAACAAAGGAGAAUGCUGACAGCAUGCAGCCUGAUGUGAGCACAGAGACACUUGAAAGUUUUUUGCUUCAUGAUAUGGACACUUUGAUUUUCUCUUCUCAUAGAACAGUCAUUUUCAAAGGUGGAACAAUGGACCAAGCAUAAGGUGAAUGGUUUCUACAAGCAGCAAGAGUGAGUGUCAGAGCAGAAAAGGAAUGGGCAUUUUCUGUGAGGGUGAAUUAUAAGGAAUGAACUCAGGUCUUCAGUAAGAAGCUUUAGCAACUGAGCUAUCCCUGUCUUUCCCAUUUCUUGACAGGGUAAUCUGGAAAGGGAAUUGUUUCACAUUUCUCAUCUCUGCCAGAGGAUGGUGUGUGACCCUGGGAGGGGGUGUGCUACACACGUAUAUGACAGAUCACAGCAUCACAGUAGAUAUCCCUCCAACGUUACUCAAAAGUUCUGGAUUGCUGUUGUGUGUCAAGAUUUUACUGGGGAGAGGAUACACAUAUCUACUCACAGCUACUUUCCUCUGAUACGGAGCCCAGGAUGGACUAAAGUACAACUUGAUGAAACAGUCUCAUGUUUAAAAGAGUCCCUAUCUUGUGAUGGUAGCACUGUCUUCAAGGGGGAGAGGCAGGACAAAUACGGACAAGGACAAGUCAGGUCAUGGGCAUUUGAUUCAUGAGAACCUUACUCUCAGACCUCAGGGAUCUCAACAGGCUUCUCCAAGCAACAUUUCUGUUCAUGGGGACAAACCUCACAGAGCUGCCACACUCGAUGAAUUUUUAUCAAAUAGCACAUAAAUAAAUAACAAUCUGUGAGCCUGCAUAGCUCUCAGUGACUUGUGUGACCCUUAUUGCUCCCAUUUUACUUGACUCUCCUGAUGUCUUUCCCAAGGCACAGAAGGGGGAAGUGUCUUUGGACACCACAGGUACUAAGUGAUACGCCUGUUUGCCUAACCUCAAGUGACAAAGUGCUGGUCCUCAUAUAUCACAGACUUGCCCAGGGAGGAUUAGGUCACACUGGCCAGGGGUUUUGCUAAUAAGAUCAUGCAUAAUCAAUAAGGGUCAGCUGACAUCUUGUCAACUCCAUCACUGUCAAUGGGGCGGGGGGUGAGGUAAGGCAGUGACAAGGGUAAGCCUGUCAGACACCCAGAACAUGAACAGAUGGCCAGCAUUGGUUGCUGCCCUGCUAUGUAAAGCUGGCUCUUAGAGCAGAAUAGGUUCAUGCAUUCAUUCAUGGAUUCGAUCCUUUGUCUAUUCCACAGAUAGCUAUGGAUGUGUCAGGUAGAAUUGGUAGUGUUAUUGCAGGAGAGAAGGUAUGACAGAGAACAGGACCUUGUGCAUUUAGAACGUCUACAUUUUACAGGGCAUGAUGACAGGGAGAAAA